UGAGCUCCCAUCUUGUUCUCUAUAGGAGCAAUGCUUGGAGACAGGGAGGAGAAACAUUAGCAAGUUUCAACCACAAAGAUGAUUUAACAAGUUAAAACAACAGUUUGAUGGAGCUUGUUUGGGUCCCGAAAAUAAUUGUCGGGUCACCAGAAAAGGGUCUGGGGAAGCAGUCCUGGCUAUGGACCGCCUGCUUGAAAGGGAGAUGAGAGGCCAAGUAUCCAUAGUGUUUGUGUCAGACCACCAGGUGCUACAAAGUACCUGUGAGGUGUGGGCGGUUUCCUCUCUACCUGGACUCGGACAUCCAGCACCUCUUACUACAGUUUGUGAACUUUGGAUUAUUCACCACCAGACUCCCAAGCUCCUCCCUUUGUGUGGACUCAGACCUGCUGUGGACUGUUCUUGUUGGACAAGCAUUCUGGAUUGCCUGACUCCCAAGCCCUGUGGUAUGAUUCCCCCGGUGUAUUUCUGCCCUGUGAUCAAAAGAACCCGUGAAGUCUGGAGAACCUGCCGACCAUUACAUACUACUUUUCCGGUGGAACUGUAAGCAAUGUUUGUAAAUAAACCUUUGAACCUUU